rnacentral:rRNA from 1 species
UACGUGGGGGGCAAGCGUUGUUCGGAAUCACUGGGCGUAAAGGGCUCGUAGGUGGCCUGCUAAGUCAGACGUGAAAUCCCUCAGCUUAACUGGGGAACUGCGUCUGAGACUGGUGAGCUUGAGUGCAGGAGAGGAACGCGGAAUUCCAGGUGUAGCGGUGAAAUGCGUAGAUAUCUGGAGGAACACCGGUGGCGAAGGCGGCGUUCUGGACUGCUACUGACACUGAGGAACGAAAGCCAGGGGAGCAAACGGG